rnacentral:rRNA from 1 species
UACGUAGGCAGCGAGCGUUGUUCGGAAUUACUGGGCGUAAAGAGUGUGUAGGCGGCGCUCUAAGUUCGGUGUGAAAUCUCUCGCUUAACUGGGAGGGUGCGCCGGAAACUGGAGUGCUCGAACGUGGGAGAGGAAAGCGGAAUCCUGGUGUAGCGGUGAAAUGCGCAGAUAUCGGGAAGAACACCGGUGGCGAAGGCGGGUCUCUGGGCCGAUACUGACGCUGAGGAGCGAAAGCGUGGGGAGCGAACAGG